rnacentral:tRNA from 1 species
GUAGUUAUAGUUUAAUAAAAACAUUAGACUGUGAAUCUAAUAAUAGAAACUUAAAACUUCUUAACUACC